rnacentral:lncRNA from 1 species
CGCUCCAAGAUACACUUGAAUGGUCAAGAUAUAACAACUUUAGUUUGCUUAUCCCUCAUUGCGCACCUUUAAAAGCCUCAGAAUGAGAUCAUUUUUCUGCGACAAAUGUACUACCAAUUCUGUGGUAGCAGCAUCAGCAGAGAACCCCUUAUCAACCAUUUCGUUGAUUAGUUCUGAUGCUUUUGGUAAAUCCUCAUGCUUGAGAAACCCUUGAAUGAUGAUAUUAUAACAACAGUUAGUUGGUAAACAUCCUACCUUUUCCAUGUCUUUAAAUACCUUGUACGCUUCAUCCAUUAAUCCUUGUUGGCAGAGUCCUUUCAUAAGUGCAUUAUAUACAUAAACAUCAGGUUGUAAACCAAUUUCAGAAAGACUAGAAAAAAGUUCCUUGGCAUCAUUAAUCUUCCCAACUUUGCACAUACCAUUGAUCAGACUGCUAUAGAUCACAACAUUAGGCUUCAACUGACUUUUCUCCAUUGCUUUCAAUAGUGUGAGUGCCUCAUCGAGAUUCCCCUGUCUACACAAGCCAUCAAUCAUAAUUGAGAAGGUUACUAUAUUUGGUUGUUGACCAUGAGAGCACAUAUCCUUAAAGAGCUCUUUUGCAUUUUGGGGCCUCCCUGCUUGAAACAUACCCUUUAUAAGAGUAUUAUAAGUAACAGCAUUAGGAACUAAACCUUUAUGAGACAUUUCAUCAAAAAUCUGCUUUGCAUCAUCUAUCAUUUUGCACUUACAAUAUCCAUUGAUCAAAAUGUUGUAGCUAAAAAUGUCAGCUAUUCCGUUGGUCACCAUCAGAUCAAAUAGCUUUCUAGCCUUAUCAAUUUGCUUGCACAGACAAUAUCCAUCCAUCAAUGAAUUAUAAGUGACAACAUUAGGUUCCACACCUCUUUGAAUCAUUAUUUUGAUUAUAUUCUGCGCAAUUGAAACCAGUCCUUUCUUACAAAGAGUGUCGAUCAAUAUAUUGAAGGUAAAAACAUUAGGGGAUAUGUUCCUCCCCACCNNNNNNNNNNNNNNNNNNNNNNNNNNNNNNNNNNNNNNNNNNNNNNNNNNNNNNNNNNNNNNNNNNNNNNNNNNNNNNNNNNNNNNNNNNNNNNNNNNNNNNNNNNNNNNNNNNNNNNNNNNNNNNNNNNNNNNNNNNNNNNNNNNNNNNNNNNNNNNNNNNNNNNNNNNNNNNNNNNNNNNNNNNNNNNNNNNNNNNNNNNNNNNNNNNNNNNNNNNNNNNNNNNNNNNNNNNNNNNNNNNNNNNNNNNNNNNNNNNNNNNNNNNNNNNNNNNNNNNNNNNNNNNNNNNNNNNNNNNNNNNNNNNNNNNNNNNNNNNNNNNNNNNNNNNNNNNNNNNNNNNNNNNNNNNNNNNNNNNNNNNNNNNNNNNNNNNNNNNNNNNNNNNNNNNNNNNNNNNNNNNNNNNNNNNNNNNNNNNNNNNNNNNNNNNNAAAAAUAUAUAGACUUAAUUAAAUUUAUUUUCAUAAAAAUAAUAUUUUAUUAUAACCGUACCUUAUAUCUAAUUAAAUUCAUUUAAAAAUUAAUUAAUUUUGUUAAUUUUAUUUUUUUAAAUAAAAUAUUAUAAAUAUAAUUGUAGAAUAAUGAUUUUUUAUUUUAUUAAAUAAUAUUCCUUAUUUAAUAAAUAAUUAUCAUUGUAUAUUUUUAAAAAUAUUAUUAUAGUCUAAUUGUAUAUAAUAUUUUUAUUAAAUGUUUAUUGCUAAAAAUUAUUAGUAUGAAUUAUUUAUUUCAAAAAUUUUAGCCACAAACUCAAAUAUUGAGUUUUGAUUAUCUUAUUAUGAAUUAAAAUUGUGUUUUAGACCUAGCUUUCUUUUAAUUUUUUUAUUAUUUUUUUAAAAAAUUAUGUAGAUAAAAAUAUAGUGUCUACAAUACUAUUACAAAAUACCUCUUAUAAAACAAGUUUUUUUCGAUUAAUGAUUGAAAUGGAAGUUAUAAGGGAUUAAAAAUAUUGCGUCAGGGUUGUGCAUGCGAUAAAACUUCAGAAUUUAUGGGUGAUGGAAGGUGAUAGAGGUUUCUCCAGUUUUUCAUUAUUUAUUUUUUAUGUGUUUUUAAUUAAAAAUUAAUUUAUAAAUAAAUUUAAUUACAAUUCAAAAGAUUGAUAUAAAAUUUUAAUAAUAAGUUUAAGUUUAUAAAUAUUAAAGGUUAAACUAGAGGGUGAAUUUAUAAAAUUUAAAAUUUAACCAUUAAUUUAAAUGAAUAUAAAUGAAAUAAAAAUUAAAAUUAAAAAUCAUUGUUAAUCAGUCACUUUAAAAUUAAUUUUUUUUAUAAUGAUUGUCGAUCUCACAAAUAUUUUAAGAUCNNNNNNNNNNNNNNNNNNNNNNNNNNNNNNNNAAAUAAAAGAGAGAAGAAUAAAAUUAUUAUUAGAAAAGUUAAUUUUAAGAAUAAACUAAAAAAAAUAUAAAAUACAUAAUCAAAUUAAAAUUCAGUUGAAAAUAAUUAAAGUUAAUAGAUUUGUAAUUGAUCAUUAAUUAAAGAGAUAUUCACUCAAUUAGCUAUCAUUCAGUUAUAAUGUUUAAAUAAGCGAAUUCCAUUAAUUAUUUUUUAAAAUUAAAUUAAUUCGGAUAGCACUUAAAUUAAUUUCUAGUUAAUUAAUAAUUCCCUCAAACAUGUAGAUUUAUUUAAUUAACAGUUUUAAAAAGAGAAAAAUCUAAACUUGAUCAAUAAUAGCAAGCAAAUUAUUUAAAGCAAAUCAAUAAAUUUCUUGACAUAAAUAAAUAUAUUAAUUACUACUUGUAUUAACCUAAUUAAAUAAUUAGGUAUUUAUUUGAAUUAAUAAAAGAUUCAAUAGGACGAUUGAAUUUCUAAAGGAUAAUAAUGGAGAUGAUGUUUUUCGAAAAUAGAAAUUAAUUGAAAAAAGAAAUUGAGAUGAUAGAAGUUAAAAACAAAAUCUCACAAUUUAAUUAAAUCUCAACUUGAUUAACUUUCAACUGAAUAAAGGAGUUUAACCUCUAAGUGUUAUAAUAAAAUCGCAAAAAAUAAAAGAAGGGAAAGGAACGUUCGGCCGAAGAGAAACUGAAAAAAAAAAAGUGUGGAGAAGAGGAGAAGAGAUGAGAGAUCUACUUCUAAAGCAGUCUUUUUAUAUAGGAUAUCCCAAAAAAGAAAAUAUUCACAAUUUUAAAAAAAAAUAAAAUAAAUCUACUACUCCUAUGAUGACUCUUAUCUUAAUCCUCCUAUCUAAUUGUAUUUGUAUCUAUCUAAAAACAGUUUUAAACUCUGUACGCAAAACAAAAAUACUGCAAUCUGCCCAUCGAGCUUGGAUCACAAAUUUGAGUGAGGUAAACAGAAAUUAAGAACAUAAUCUCACAAUUUUAAAUGAACUUCAAUUUAAUUAACUUUUAUAUGAAUAAAAGAGUUUAGUUUCUAAAUGUCAUAAUAAAAUUGCAGCAAAAUAAAAAGAGAGGAAAAUUUCGGCCAAAAAGGGAUCGAAAAAGAGAGGAGAUGAUGAGAAGAGAUGGUAAAUUCUACUUCUAUGGCAGCCUUUAUAUAGACUUUUUCUAAACAAAAAAAUAAUAAUUCAUAAUUUAAAAGAGAAAUUAAAAUAAAUCUACUACUGCAAUAAUGACUUUUAUCGUAAUCCUAAUCUGAUUAUGUUUGCAUUUAUCUAAAACAAUUUUGAAUUUUGUAUAGCGGGCAAAACAGUAAUCCCAAAGUCUGUCCGUCGCUUUGGACUACAGUCUUGAGUAAGAAUGUACCUUCAAAUCAGAAAAAGAACUCUAAAACAGUCUUUUUUAAUUUUUUUUUCUCAUUUUUAGUUCAAAAUCUGUCCAAAAUCAAAUUUCAAGUAAAAAUUAAUUGUUUAUAUCAUAAUCAUAGCAAAAUUAUGGAAUUUAAUAUGAAAAAAAUGGUGAGUUUUGGGACUCAUCACAAAUUGAUUUACACACAAAUGUAUAAUUUAUUUGUAAAAAAUUUAUAAAUCGAAACACAUGGAUUUGUAAAUAGAUGUAAUACUCCAUUUUAAAAUUAAAUAAAUACAAAUUAAUUUGCACACAAAUAUAUAAUUUGUUUGUAAAUUAAAUAGACACUAAUAUAUUCUCUAAGGGAUAUAUAAUCCAUUUGUAAAAUUAAAUGGAUACAAAUUGCUUCAUAAAAAAAAUGUUUGAUCCGUUUAUAAAAUUAAAUGAAACAAACUGUUUUCAAAUGGAUAUAUAAUCUAUUUGUAAAAUUAAAUGAUACAAACUAAUUCACAAAUAAACAUGUAAUCCGUUCAUAAAUUAAAUGAACACAAUGAUUUACAAACGAAUGCAUAAUCUGUUUGUAAAAUUAAAUAAAUAUAAAUUAAUUCGCAAAUGACUAUAUAAUCCGUUUAUAAAAUUAAAUGGAUAUAAAUGAACAUAGAAUCUAUUUAUAAAAUUAAACGGACAUAAAAUGACAGCAAACGAAUGUAUAAUUUAUAAAAUUAAAUAGAUACAAAUUAAUUUGCAAAUAGAUUUUAACCCGUUUGAAAAUAAAAAUAGAUAGAAACUAAUUCGCAAAAUGAUAGGCAAUUUGCUGGUAAAAUUAAACGGAUAUGUUUGGAUUUGUAAACGAACAUAAAAUCUGUUUGUAAAAUUAAAUGGAAGCAGAAUGAUUUGCAACAUGAUAAAUAAUCUAAAUAUUUAGAUUAAUCUAUAUUUAUAUUCAAAAUUUUAAAUUUUUAGAUAAUAAAAUUAAAUAUUUUCAAUUUGUCACGUUUAUAACUAGAGUACUAAAUUGAAUAUGGAGAAGUGUAUCUUUAUGGGCAUGUACUUCCUUCACCAUAGCUUUUCCUUCGAGAAAAGCGAUAGCAAAACCCUAAACUAGUUGCCUACGUUAUCUCUUAACAAACCACUUCUUGAAACCAAACUAUCUCUCCUUCUUUAAGAUCUAAUCAAAAGUAGAACAUAAAACCCUCUGGUAGGACUCACAUAUAGUCUAAUUGACGUUGAGAUAUCUCCUUCUCAAAGUCAGGUGAUUUGAAUCACCGUAUUACCGCAUUGAGUUUGCCUCCAAAAUACAAGUGUUCCUCUAAUUCCAAAAGCUCCAUUCUAUUUUUGUGCAACCAAAUUUAAAACUUUCAAAGAAAUGGAUGUUUUCUCUCGAUGCUCUGUCUCACUCUCUUUGGACAGAUAAUGAUGUGUUUUAUAUGGACAAAGUUAAUAUAGGGAAAUGCUCUUAUUUCUCUUUUCAAGUGCCAUAAGAAUUUUGGAUAUUAAAUUUUUUCAUUAUAUUAACUUUCAAGUAAUGUGUACCGCUAAAUAUUCAAUUAACAUAUUAAUGGCAUUGACCAUUUAAUCUAUUUAUUAAACCAUUAAAAACUCAAUAUGGAUUUUGAAAAUAUAGAUACUAAAGUAGAGAUUUCAUCUCCACAUAAAACAAUAUUUUACCCUCAUUUUUAUAUAUUUUUAUUAAUUUUUUUAUACUUUAUAUAAUAUAAUAAUAUCAUUAUUAUUAUUAUUUUAAAUAGACAAUUAAAUUUGGUGUCCUAUUGCCAUAAUUAAUAUCACAUUAUUAUAUGAAUAUAUCUAAUCAAAGCUAUCUAAAAGAUUGUAAUAAAAUACAAUUAAGAAAAUGUAUUAUUUUAGUUGAUUUUAUUAUUAUAAAUGAAAUAUUCAAUUUUUUAUUUGCUAAUAUAUGUUAUUUAAUAAAAUUAUCAUUAAAGAUAAUUUUUAAAAAAUUAUUGUAGUCCAAUUCUAUAUAAAUUAAGUUAAAAAAAACUUUAUCCUAACACAAUAUGAAUUUCAAAAUUAAAAUAAUAUAUUUUUAUUUAUUUAAAAUUAUGAUUUUCAAUAAUAAAUUACAUUUUCAAUAAUAAUAAUUUUCACUAUUUUCAAUUUCUCAUAUCUUUCAAUCAAAACAAACAUUACAAAAUAACUACUUUCAUUCAUUCAAACACUUCAUACAACUAAACCAUUUUUGCUAAGAGAGAUGAAAAGUUUAUAGAAUUUAACCAUCCUGCGCCCUACCUAAUAUGAUAAUCCUACUCGUGGAAAUUGUAAAAACGGAGAAGAGAAGUUUGAGGGAGAUGAAAUGAGAAAGAGAAAGGGAGUCUGUUUGAGGGAUUUCUAAAAUUUACUUAGAGGUACAAAUGAACCAAGCAUAGCCGAGUUUUGAAUAGUUCAAAUUUAGUUCGUUAAAAAUUUUUCAAACUCGAGAUGAACUCGAGUUUUACUCAUUUCAAAAUCGAGUCAAAUACUAAUAAGGUUAAAUUUGACUCGUUUAGCAAACGAAUUUAGACGAGUUGAGUUUUUAUCGAGUUUAGUCUCAUAUAGUUCACGAAUAGUUCAAUUUAUUUACAUGUAUAAUGAGUUUUACUUUAAAACUAAUAAAUAUAAAACUAAAUAAGUAUAUAUACAAAUUAGCUCAUAAACUUAUAAAGAUGAGCUCUUAACGAUCUAAACAUAUGCAAGUUUUAAGAGUAUAAUUAAAAUAUAUAGAGCUGAACUUUAAAAAAUUUAGAUUUGGCUCAUGAAAAUAUAUGCAGGGUUUGAAUUUAUUUCUCUUAUGAUAUUAAUCUCAGCUUGCUUAAUGAGAAUGUUCACAAGUCUAUUCGCGAGCCUGCUUAUGAACUUGAAAACAGACCGAACUUACGAGUCUUAGUGGGUCGAAUACUAUGGAACUUAAAUUUAGUUCGUUUACUAAACAAGUCUAAAAAUUAAGUUUGAACUUGACUCGUUUGGAAAUCGAGUCAAAUUCAGUCGAGAUUUCGUCGAGCUGAACCUCAAAUAACUCACGGAUAGUUUGAUUCAUUUAUACUCCUAAAUUUAAUAACAGAUUGAAAUUGUUAAUAAAUUAUCAACAAAUUUACUAAUAAAUUUUAAGCUUGUUAGUAAAUUUUAACACAAAUUAUUUUAUAAAUUUAUAAAUUACCUGCGGAUUUUAAAUCCGGUAGUAAAUUUUUACAUAAUUUAUUUAUAUUAAUAAUUACCGAUGAAUUUUCAAAUUCAUUAGAAAACUAUUAAAAUUACUAAUGGAUUAAAUUACAUUGAUAAAAUUUAUUGGUAAAAUCCGUUAAAAUUCUGAAAAUUUUUUGUAGUGAUUUUAGAAAAUUUAGAUUUGGCUCAUGAAAGUAUAUGUAGGAUUUGAAUUUAUUUCUAUUAUGAUAUUAAUCUCAACUUGCUUAACGAGAUUAUUCACGAGUCUCAUUAACUCGGAAACGAACUGAACUCACGAGUUUUAAUGAACCGAAUACUAUGGAGUCUAAAUUUGACUCAUUUACUAAACAAGCCUAAAAAUUAAGUUCGAGUUUGGCUCGUUUAGAAAUCGAGUUGAGUUCGAUCGAGUUUUUAUCAAACCGAAUAUUGAAUAUUUACUAAUAAAUUUUAAAUCUGUUAAUAAAUUUUAACACUAAUUAUUUUAUAAAUUUAUAAAUUUCCAACGAAUUUUUAAAUCUAUUAGUAAUACCAAUGGAUUAACGACAAAUUUUAAAUUUUAAAUAUGUUGGUAAAUUUUUACAUAAUUUGUUUAUAUUAAGAAUUAUUGAUAAAUUUUCAAAUUCAUUAGAAAACCGUUAAAAUUACUAAUUAAUUAAAGUACAUUGAUAAAAUCUAUUAGUAAAAUCCAUUGGAAAUCCAAAAAUUUUUUAUAAUGACUUUAGAAAAUUUAUAUUUAACUCAUGAAAAUAUAUGUAGGAUUUGAAUUUAUUUCUAUUCUGAUAUUAAUCUUAAUUUGCGUAACGAGACCGUUCACGAAUCUACUGCUCAUGAACUCGAAAACGAGCCGAACUCACGAGCCUUAAUGAGUCGAAUAAUAUGGAGCUUAAAUUUGGCUCAUUUACUAAACAAGUCUAAAAAUUAAGUUCGAGUUUGACUCGUUUAGAAAACGAAUUGAGCUCGUUCGAAUUUGACUCGUUUAGAAAUCAAAUUGAGCUCGGUCGAGUUUUUAUCAAACAGAAUCUCGAAUAGCUUACGAACAGUUUAUUUCAUUUACACCCCUAAAUUUACUAACAGAUUGACAUUGUUAGUGAAUUACCAAUAUAUUUGUAAAUAAACAUUUAAUUAAUUUAUAAAAUUAAAUAGAUACAAACAAAUUUAUCUUUCCUUUUCCUAUCAAUCUAAUCAGAAAUGGAGUAUAAGAACCUUUAAUAGAAUUCAUAGUCUAAUCGACAUCAAUCUCUCUUUUUAAAGGGCCGCUUUGAGUUUGCCUUUCAAAAAAUAUAAAUGUUCCUCUGGUUCCAAAAACUCCAGUAAACCACUCUAUUUCUCUACAACCACGUUUAACACUUUCACAAAUUAAACAAUAUUUUACUGUUAUUUUUAUUUUAUCUCUUUAUUAAUUUUUUAUAUUAUUAUUAUUAUUAUUGCAAAUAGGCAAUUAAAUUUGGGUUCCUAUUAUCUUAAUAUCACAUUAUUAUAUGAAUAUAUUUAAUCAAAGUUAUCUAAAAAAAUUAUAAUAAAUAAAAUUAAGAAAAUAUAUCAUUUUAGUUGAUUUUUUAUUAUAAUUGAAAUAUUCAACUUUUUAUUUGCUAAUAUCUGUUAUUUAAUAAAACUAUCAUUAACAUAUAUUUUUUUAAGAAAAUUAUUAUAGUCCAAUUAUAUAUAAAUUAUAAUUGCAAAAAAACUUUAUCCUAAUACAAUAUGAAUUUCAAAAUUAAUAAUAAUAAUAAUAAUAAUAAUAUAUUUUUACUUUAUUUAAAAUUAGUAAUUUCCAGUAAUAAAUUAUACUUAGUAAUUUAUAAUUUGAAAGAUACGAAUAAAUUUUAAAUAAUUUUAUAUUUUUAUUUUACGUAAAAUUAUAGAUAUUCAAUAAUAAAUUAUAUUUAAACAUUUAUAAUUUGAAAGGUAUAACUAAUUUUUUAACAUGUAUAAUAUUUAUUAUUAAUUAUUUUCUUUAUAAUAUGAUUUUAAUAUAAUAAAAAAAUAUUAUUCAUAAAACUGUACUCUUAUUAAAAAAAUUUAAAACUUUUUAUUUUGAUAUGUUAUUAUAAUAGCAUUAGAAUUUUAAUUAUUAAUAAUAGUCUUAAUAUAAGUAAAUUAUUAAAACAUAAAAUAGUUUCAAUAAAAUACUCAAUCUAUUAAAAUUUUCAUAUUAUAUUUGUUAAUAGAACAUAAAUUAAAUUAAAAUAGUAAAUUAAUCGAACAAAUGAAAUUAAAAUAUUUUAAAUAAUGUAUAUUUAUAUAAUUUUUUAAUCCAUUAAAAUAUUAUAUUAUAAAUUAAUUAAAUAAAUUAUAUUAAUAAAAAUAAAUUAUAAUUGACACUACUGGACCACAAGAAAGAUCUAAUGUGAGAUUCAAUUUUUCCUGCCACCUUCUUUGAUUAUACCUGUGUUAUAUAUAGAGCUAACCUGCCUUUUAUGAACUUGUUCAUAAAUAAAUUUGGACAUAAAGUCCUGUUAAAUAGCUGAAGGCUGCUAAACUAGCAUUCCAAUCGCUAGUAGGACCAAUUGCAGUUGCUUGUCUGAGUGGCUGCAUAUGUCUGAUUUUCAUCCUCUUUCUUUUGCUUAUAAUUUCUAAACCAAUCAGCAAGUAUCUCUAACAUGCCCAAAAGCUUUCCAAAAGUCACAAAAUCUAUAUGAAACUCUUUCCUCCACUCCCAACUUUCUAACUUCUUAACUUUUCUUUUAAGAAUGAGGAAGCUGAACAUAGAAUUAUACUAAAAACAAACUCAUAUUCAACCUACUCUUUAAUGAUGCUUUAAAACACCAAGUUUAUCCCAUAGUUUCUUCAAUUUUGUAAAGUAAACAACAACUGAUAUAGAUUCUUGACUUAUUUCUUUCUUUAAUUGGUGUAUAAGUUGCCCAAAUCUUUCUUUAAAGCAAGUGUCAUAGUCAUAGACAUAUUCCAAGUCGAAUAAUUUACUAAAUUUGAAUAAUUUACUAAAUUUAACGGUGCAGAUAUGAGAAUCCUACUUGGAUUAUCUGAGUUUUGAAGAGUAGAAGGAUCUGAAUAAUUUACUAUCACAAGAUUCAACAGUUUCAACAACUUAAAUUGGUAGAUUUUCUGUCAAACAAAAAACUAAAAAAAAAAAUGGCAGAUUUCCCAACCACUACACUUGUACCUUGGCUUCAGCAGGAUACAAAUCAUACAAUAGAGGUUUGGUUAAUUUAGAAAGCAGUUUCAAAAUAGUUGCAUUAGGCCAAGCAAAGUGAUUUAAUCAUAUCCUUAAAAUGGACUCGCUUUAUUUGAUAGCUAUUGCUAUUAACUAUCAACAUUUAAUCGCCAGUUACACAUCCAAUCAACUUGGCACAAAGUAAAGAAUCUCAAAGGGAAGAAUAUAUAUAUACAUAUAUAUACCUUCCACAAGCAUUUCUAAAAUUCAAAUUUUCAUGUUAAAAAAUUGAUUUCAUUGGAAAAGAUUGUGAACUUCAUAUUAUUAGAUGCUAAUGCAAUGAUUUCACUAAUUUGACUUGAAGGAAAAUAAUAAAAGAAAUUAAGGAUAUAUAUAUAUAUAUAUAUAUAUAUAUAUACCCAACUUGAUGACUAGAAAAAAAAAGGUGACAAAGACGAUGUUUGCUUUUCCCUCAAUUCCCAUAACAUUUUUUGUUGUGUAUAAUUUUAGCGACAUUUCAUCCAACCAACAGCGGUAGAAGUCUAGUGAUUUUCUUACCUUGUACUCUGGGACUGUAUAUCCUGCACCCUGCAUUUAUAGUAUUAAAGCACACUGGUUUAUAAUCAUUAUUUUCAUUAUUAUUAAAAAUAUAAUAAUUAAGCAAAAAAGAAUUGCUUAUACCUUUAUGGUUAGAAAGGUGAAGUUGUAAUCAUAUCCUUGCAAGUACCUACAAGAGAAAUGAUAGCAUUUUAAAAGGUCAUUGAGCACAAAAAUAAAAAUAGAUAAAGAUUCUUAAGCAUUGUAGUAUGGGACCAAUUAGUUUAGUUCUCAACUCAAUUUUAGGACUGAGCUCUAGAGUUAAGGCUAUAGUAGCAGCCAAAAAAAAUUGAAAAAGGAGAUGGUGGGUUUACCAGCAACUUGAUCAUUAGAAAUCCAUGACCUCCAUUCAUCAACAAUCUUAUAUCAAAGAGAUCAAGUCCAUGUCUGAAUUCAAGCGAAAGGCACACACAUAUCAUGGUUUCCACCACAGGUAAUUUGCAGUGUUAGAAAUUUUCAUUUUGUGGAAGAGAAUCACAGCUGAUUGAAAUUAAAAAUGAUAUUUGAAGAAGUUAGUUAAAUUACAUAUCUAUUAUAUUUGAAAAAGGUAAUUACCAAGUUGCGCUCCAAGACACACUUGAAUGAUCAAGAUAUAACAACUUUAGUUUGUUGAUCCCUCAUUGCGCACCUUUAAAAGCCUCAGAAUGAGAUCAUUAUUCCGCGAUAAAUGUACUACCAAUUCUGUGGUAGCAGCAUCAGCAGAGAACCCCUUAUCAACCAUUUCGUUGAUUAGUUCUGAUGCUUUUGGUAAAUCCUCAUGCUUGAGAAACCCUUGAAUGAUGAUAUUAUAACAACAAUUAUUUGGUAAACAUCCUACCUUUUCCAUGUCUUUAAAUACCUUAUAGGCUUCAUCCAUUAAUCCUUGUUGGCAGAGUCCAUUCAUAAUUGCACUAUAUACAUAAACAUCAGGUUGUAAACCAUUUUCAAAAAGACUAGAAAACAGUUCCUUGGCAUCAUUAAUCUUGCCAGCUUUGCACAUACCAUUGAUCAGAAUGCUAUAGGUCACAAGAUCAGGCUUCAACUGACUUUCCUCCAUUUCUUUCAAUAGGGUGAGUGCUUCAUCGAGAUUCCCCUGUCUACACAAGCCAUCAAUCAUAAUUGAGAAGGUUACUAUAUUUUGCUGUUGACCAUGAGAGCACUUAUCCUUAAAGAGCUCUUUUGCAGUUUGGGGCCUCCCUGCUUGAAACAUAGCCUUUAUAAGAGUAUGAUAAGUAACAGCAUCAGGAACUAAACCUUUAUGAGACAUUUCAUCAAAAAUCCGCUUUGCAUCAUCUAUCAUUUUGCACUUACAAUAUCCAUUGAUCAAAAUGUUGUAGCUAAAAAUGUCAGCCAUUCCGUUGGUCACCAUCAGAUCAAAUAGCUUUCUAGCCUUAUCAAUUUGCUUGCACAGACAAUAUCCAUCCAUCAAUGAAUUAUAAGUGACAACAUCAGGUUCCACACCUCUUUGAAUCAUUAUUUUGAUUAUAUUCUGCGCAAUUGAAACCAGUCCUUUCUUACAAAGAGUGUCAAUCAAUAUAUUGAAGGUAAAAACAUCAGGGGAUAUGUUCCUUCCCACCAUUUCUUUCAACAAGGCCAAAGCUUCCUUGAAUUGGCCUGAAAUGCAAAGACCAUCAAUUAAGGAAGUGUACGUGAUCACAUUAGGCUCUACACCUCUUUGAAUCAUUACAUUGAAUGUAUUUUGAGCCUCUGUUCCAUCCUUACAAAGAGCAUCAAUCAAUACAUUGAAGGUACAAACAUCAGGUGAUAUGUUCUGCUCCACCAUUUCAUUCAUCAAGGCCAAAGCUUGGUUCUUUUGGCCUAAUUUGCAAACACCAUGAAUUAAACUAUUGUAAGUGAUGACAUUAGGUGAAAUGCCCUUAUUCUUCAUUUGAGAGAAGAGCUCUAAAGCCUCACCAACUAGCUCAUCCUUGCAAAGGGCGUCAAUGAUUGCACUGUAUGUCACAACAUUUGGCUCACAACCUCUAUCAGCCAUUCCCUUUAGUAGCCUAAUAGCCACACUUGUUUUCCCAAAUUUACACAUUCCGUUUACUAUCACAUUAAAAGUACAAACAUCAG